CUAACAUGCUAAAUCAGAAGUAUGGGUCCUUCAGGUUUAAACCUGUGCUUGUUAGCUGCUAACAUGCUAAAUCAGAAGUAUGGCCCCUUCAUGUUUAUACCUGCACUUGUUAGCUGCUAGCAUGCUAAGUCAGAAGUAUGGGUCUUUCAGGUUUAAACCUGUGCUUGUUAGCCGCUAACAUGCUAAAUCAGAAGUAUGGGUCUUUCAGGUUUAAACCUGUGCUUGUUAGCCGCUAACAUGCUAAAUCAGAAGUAUGGCCCCUUCAGGUUUAUACCUGCACUUGUUAGCCGCUAACAUGCUAAGUCAGAAGUAUGGGUCUUUCAGGUUUAAACCUGUUCUUGUUAGCUGCUAACAUGCUAAGUCAGAAGUAUGGGUCUUUCAGGUUAAAACCUGUCCUUGUUAGCUGCUAACAUGCUAAGUCAGAAGUAUGGGUCUUUCAGGUUUAAACCUGUUCUUGUUAGCCGCUAACAUGCUAAGUCAGAAGUAUGGGUCUUUCAGGUUUAAACCUGUUCUUGUUAGCCGCUAACAUGCUAAGUCAGAAGUAUGGGUCUUUCAGGUUUAAACCUGUGCUUGUUAGCCGCUAACAUGCUAAAUCAGAAGUAUGGCCCCUUCAGGUUU